rnacentral:lncRNA from 1 species
UCACACUUGGCAACUUGUUAUUCUUCACGUAGAAUUGGCCCAGUUCGCAUCCAUUCACCGACACUUGUCGGUGGAGUCUGACCCUGCUCUAGGUUUCAGAAACACACAUCACUUGUUACUACCUUUCCUUGGUAUUUGCUCCCAUCACUUGGUUACUAACUUGUGCAUCCCAUACACACUUUUUCUAUACUUUUGUUGGGCAACUUCAUGUGUAGCCAGGUCCUAACACAUU